GAUGAACGCUGGCGGCGUGCCUAAUACAUGCAAGUCGAGCGAACGGACGAGAAGCUUGCUCCUCUGAUGUUAGCGGCGGACGGGUGAGUAACACGUGGAUAACCUACCUAUAAGACUGGGAUAACUUCGGGAAACCGGAGCUAAUACCGGAUGAUAUUUUGAACCGCAUGGUUCAAAAGUGAAAGACGGUUUUGCUGUCACUUAUAGAUGGAUCCGCGCUGCAUUAGCUAGUUGGUAAGGUAACGGCUUACCAAGGCAACGAUGCAUAGCCGACCUGAGAGGGUGGUCGGCCACACUGGAACUGAGACACGGUCCAGACUCCUACGGGAGGCAGCAGUAGGGAAUCUUCCGCAAUGGGCGAAAGCCUGACGGAGCAACGCCGCGUGAGUGAUGAAGGUCUUCGGAUCGUAAAACUCUGUUAUUAGGGAAGAACAUAUGUGUAAGUAACUGUGCACGUCUUGACGGUACCUAAUCAGAAAGCCACGGCUAACUACGUG
rnacentral:rRNA from 1 species